UACGUAGGGUGCAGGCGUAAUCGGAAUUACUGGGCGUAAAGCGUGCGCAGGCGGUUUGCUAAGACAGGUGUGAAAUCCCCGGGCUUAACCUGGGAACUGCAUUUGUGACUGCAAGGCUAGAGUACGGUAGAGGGGGAUGGAAUUCCGCGUGUAGCAGUGAAUGCGUAGAUAUGCGGAGGACACCGAUGGCGAAGGCAAUCCCCUGGACCUGUACUGACGCUCAUGCACGAAAGCGUGGGGAGCAAACAGG
rnacentral:rRNA from 1 species